UACGGGGGAGCAAGCGUUGUUCGGAUUUACUGGGCGUAAAGGGCGCGUAGGCGGCCACCGCAAGUCACUUGUGAAAUCUCCGGGCUUAACCCGGAAAGGUCAACUGAUACUGCGGGGCUAGAGUGCAGAAGGGGCAACUGGAAUUCUCGGUGUAGCGGUGAAAUGCGUAGAUAUCGAGAGGAACACCUGCGGCGAAGGCGGGUUGCUGGGCUGACACUGACGCUGAUGUGCGAAAGCUAGGGGAGCGAACGGG
rnacentral:rRNA from 1 species